CUGCUACUCCCUCCGUCCGGAAUUAUUUGUCAUCAAAAUGGAUGUGUCUAGAACUAAAAUACAUCUAGAAACAUCCAUUUCAAUGACAAGUAUUUUCGGACGGAGGGAGUAUUUA
rnacentral:pre_miRNA from 1 species